rnacentral:tmRNA from 1 species
GGGGGCGUACUGGCUUCGACUUGACAGAUGCGCCAGAGGCGGCAUGCCGAGGAUGGUUCGUUGGCCUCGUUAAAAAUCGGACCAAAACAUAACUGCUAACGAAG